CCAGGCGUCACACUGCUUGUGUUCAAGUCACUCUUAUUUUACCUCAUGAUGGCCCCAAAGCACAAGAGUAGUGAUGCUGGUAAUCUGGAGGUGCCAAAGAGAAGCUGUACAGUGCUCCCUUUAAGUAAAAAGACAAAGCUCUCAAAG